rnacentral:ncRNA from 2 species
CUCUUAUUCCGAGCUGGUGGAGGGACAGGCCCUAUGAAACCCAGCAACCUGCUCAAAGGAUGAGCGAGCGCAAAAAGCACGCCGCUUUUUUUAUUUUUAGACCAGAUAUGGUCGCUUGAGAAAAGGUGCUAAACCUGAGCAAGGCUCUGACCUUGACCGAUAAGAG